AGUUGCAUCAAAAAGUUCUCAACUCCAAGGUCUACUUCUAAAUGAAGCAUCCUCGGGAUUCUCAACUUUGAGUUGCUGCUUAGGUCAAAGAGGGAUAACAACUGUGUUAGCAAUGGGAUUUAGUUUCCACUGAGAGAGAUUGUGAGCUGUUAAACAAGAUAGAACAAAUAAUGGAGGUGCUUGCAGGAAUCAAAAAUGGGCAGCAGGAUGUAAAACAAUACUUAACACAGGAGCUGGACCCUUCAAAAAAGAAUUUGGAGUAAGACCUGGAAGUUUCACAAACAUAACUAAAGAAGCAUCUGGAGGAUUCCCAGUUCAAAUAAUGCAAAAAUCUCAUAUCUUCAAGGGGUAAAAUACUCUCUGGGAGAUUUAUUGGCUCAAUUCAACUAAAAUGAAUGGGUGGUAAGUGGGACAGAAAGGAAUGUUUCUAGCAGCCACUUUAAGGGUCCCAGCACUUUCCGUCCUGCAGAACUUACCCCCUGAAAAGAGACUGCUUAUCCAGACCUGAUACAGGCCCUUAGCAUGCAGUUUUGACCUAGUCUGGCAGAGCUAAGAGCUAGAAGGAGAGGCGUUUGGUAAUGGACCAGUUUAUAGAUGCACAGCUGGAGUUGGACUUUCAGAUCAAAAUCAGCAAAAGGAGACCAGAGACUGUGGAAUUUGCCACAGAACUUGCAUUUUUCCUUGCAGUAGUUCACCAGAAGAGGAAGCAACUACUAUUGAGGAAGAUGGAAACUGAUCAGCAUUAUCCUGGAAGUACAGUUCUGUGUCUAAUAUGUAUGAUAAAGAGAGGAUUCUAAUCUGGUUUAUGAGUUUACUGAACAAUUCAAACAGAUACAUUUGGUUUGUUUUUUUUUUUAAAAAAAGGGGAAAUUGCUCUUUUGUAUUAUUGCCAAACAGUUCAGUUAAGUGGUGGUAGUAUGACAAGAGUAACCACAAGGAAGGAUUGCUAAAAAUUGAAGGCAGACCAAGACAGUUGAAGGUGUCUAGCAAAAGCUUCUGUCCCAGUUCAGGAAAAUGGGGAACACCACACGGAAGAGGCAAAGCUUGAUGGAGGUAUAAGUAUGAGACCCGAUGUUUUUGUUUAGAUUUGGGCAGUUAAAUAAUAAUCAGAGUUUGGCUAUUGAUGGUAUAAUAGAAUCUGUGAUGUGUAUGGGAAUAGUUGACACAGGCUCAAAUGUAAGUUAUUAGACCCGACAUGCUAAAAAGGCUAAGGAAUAGGGGAUCCAAAACUGAACUGCCUAAUUAGUCUCAAGUGGAGACUGACUGGGGCAAGGGUACCUAUUCAAAAACUGAAAAAAUUGGGUCUGAAGAUUGGACCUCUAAAAUUUGAGCAAGAAGUUUUGUGUGGCUGAAAGAAUGAAUGAGCUAAUAAUUUGCUUGGAUUUGCCUACGGCUAGUAACUGUAUAAUCAAUUCCAGGAAAGGUGUCAUACAAAUUUAGUCUGUGAAAAUUCCUUUGAAAAUAUGGCUGUGACAUUCCCCAAGGUUCAUUCAGGAGUGUUGAACAGCUGUGCCCCCUUAAUUAUCUAGCCUGGGAUACCUCUUAAACUGCUUUGCUGCUGAACAGUCACCUCUCCAGGUUCUGCUUUCACACAGCCUCCGGCAUGUAACUUGCUCCCAGCCACACAAUAUUGAGUGCUACUAGCUAGCCCCUCAUAAGUUACUUAUAGGGUGACACCAACAUGUUCUUAGUCCUAGCCUUGACCCCAGAAAUGUGUAUAUUAUAUUGCACAGGUCCCCCUCCCUCUCUACAGUAUAAGCUCAUAGUCUGUCAUUUAAACAAAAGAAAAUGAUAAUGCACCAACUUUGUUAUCCCAAUUGGAGUUUCCCCAUACUUUAAUCUAAAUACACGCUAGUUAAGAUAAAACAAUAAAAUAAGUUUAUUAACUACAGAAAGGUAGAUUUUAAGUGACUACAAGUGAUAAUGCAUAAAAGUCAAGAUUGGUUACAAAACAAAAUAAAAAGAUAACACAAGAUAAUUCCUAAACUUUAACAAGCUAAUAGGAUUUAAAGCAAGUAUCUUUCUCUUACCACAAGUUGUAAUAGUUCACAGACUGGAUUUCCUUUCAGCCAGGGACCUCUCCCGCAGUUCAGAGUCCUUCAAGUGUUUGUUGAUGUCCUGAGCAGAGAUAUGGGAGAAGGAGAGGUGAGGUGGAGGCCACUGUUUUGCAUACUUACACCCCUAUAUGAGGAUUACCCCUGUAAUUGGCCCAUGGAGCAGUGAACCGCGGCCACUGGGAGCCGCGAUAGGCUGAACCUGUGGACGCGGCAGGUAAACAAACUGGCCCGGCCCACCAGGGGCUUUCCCUGCACAAGCGGUGAAACAAGUUUGGGAACCACUGUACUAGUCACAUUGGGAGGCUAAUGGAGAGGGUAUUAUGUGGCAUUCACCCCUCAGCCUGUCUAAUAAUUCCUAGAUGAUUGAUAUCCUGGUGCAUGGUAAAACAUUUAAGCAGGAACUAAAACUUUUAUAAGUGGUCUGUGAUAAACUGAAGGUGGCCAGUUUGAAACUGAACCCAAAGAAAUGUGAAUUGUUCCAAAACAGAUAAUCUACCUUUAAGAAACACAAUUAGUGAGAAGGGAGUUUUCACUGAGAACAAGAAAACUGAGGCUGUGCAGAGCUGACCAGAUGUGCAGAGUUUUACAGGGCUCUACUUCUAUUAUAGAAGGUUCAUUUCUGGGUUUGCCAAUACUGCAAAACAAUUGCAUUGGUUGGGUGAGAAAGCAAAACCAUUUUAGUGGUCAGCAGAUUACUCCUGGGGAAUUCUGCACCCUGCUGGGGGUGCAGAAUUCAUACCUUCCACAGAUUUCUAGUGGCUCAUAGGUGCUAUGAUAUGAAUGAUUAAUAAAAUAAUAAAAAAAAUCUAAUUCUAGUAUAUGGGUAGAUGUUUGCAACAUCUUUGGGGGAAAAUAGCAAAUUCUAGCAAAUUUAAACAUACUGUACAUAUCGGUAGAAAUUUCAAGCAUUCCUAUUAUAUUUUUGAACAUAUGCAUAAUGCUUACAUCUCCUUCUAUAAGAUAUGCACUGUGUAUUAAAUGACAGUCCAUAAUAAUAAGGAACUUGCUUCAUGAGAGACAGAAUAUAGAAAUAUUAAAUAGAAACUUGUUUUACUGAAAGUUUUCAGUGACUUAUGUAAAGUAAAUUGUUAUCUUGUGAGGCAAUGUGUUGCAUAAUGCAGUCAAGGGCAUUUAAUGUCAACUAGCACAGAUGACUGUUUUUGUUUCUAAUUCCCUUAUAUAAGCAUAUUUACAUCCUAAAUAUAAUAACUCGUACAAAUCUAUAGAGAAGUAAGCUUAAGAGUGUUAUGCAAAGAGAUGAAAGUAAGGAAGUACUGUAAUAUGUACAGAUAUGUUACUCUAACACACUGAUGAGAGCUAAGCAAAAGGGAUGAAUUCAGAAGUAAAUAGAGUGUCAGUCUUAACUUCACGCUCUUUUGCUUUUGUUGUUUUGUGUCACACCUUAAACUUUAUUUUGCUUCCUUUUGGGACAGUAGUUUUUAAUGACUCAUUCAGGUGAAGCAGAGUACAUAAAUAUAUAUAUGAUGGAAUUUUGAAGUAUUUCUUUUGGCCUGAUAAAUUGCAGUAGCCACUUUGGAGCCCUGUGAGCUAUUGUAUAAAUAUGUAUAACAAAGUGUUCAAAAUACGCAUUGUUGACUCAGUAAGUUGUAAUGGGUUGGUUGAGCUUUAUAAGUUGAUUUUUUGUAAUAAAUAUUUUAAAUACUGUAAUUUCCAUCAAGAAGAUUGGGAUACUCUCAAGGAUUUCAGUUAAAUAACAUUUGGGUAGCAUGGGGCAGACUUGCUCUUUUAGCCCUAAAAUGGAACCUUGUAUAAAAAAAUUUCUGAGCUUGCUCAAACUUGGUAGAUUUGAAUUUGCCAUGCUAAAGUAAAAUCUCAUGUAGACAUUUGAAUCGGGAUAGUGCGAUGUUGCAUUGUGAGGUAAAUGUCACCAUAUCCUGUUUUGUCAUGCCCUGGAAGUCUAUAGUCAGAGAAUUUGAGGGUGGAGAAGAAGAGAAAAAUAUGGGCUGGCUGCUUCUCUGCCAGAAGAAGAAGCACCUCUUCAAUCUGCUCUUUAUCAUUUUGUGUGCUUGGGAUGGACUUAAAGAGCAGGAGUUGUUCUGGGCUGUUGUCACAGCACAGUGCAAUUUUUAUUGUGGUACAAACAUCAUCACUAAGGUUGAGUUUUAUAACUAUAAUCCAAACAGCUUCAGAUUUAUUCACUCCAUGCUAUAUAAUUAAUAUCCUUCAAAAGGAAACUGAACUCAUGUUACUCAAAGCAAUAUAUUGAUAUUAUUUAAAAAGAGAAUCAUUACUUCUCAUGAAUUAAGAUAAAUAUUUGUAUUGUGAUAGUACCCAGAAGCUAUGUUAGGAUUGGAGUCCUAUUGUGAUUAGCACCGUACAAACGGGCCUCGUCCUGAACAGCAGAGAGAGAGGAAAAUCCUGACCACAGCAAGCUCAACUAUAAGUAGCUCUUGCAAAGUGAACCUCAGAGUCUUCAGUCUAAUUGACAUGCUUUUUCUAUUUAGGAAAAGAUCAAGGCCUAAACAUGGAAUAUUUGCUUUAAGGCCUAAAGAUAAAUAGAUAUCCCCAAGGUGGAUGUUUUAAUUGCAGCAUUGCUACAACAUUUGCUACAGUGACACUGCUAUAUAAUAUGGUUUUAAAAAUAACAUUGUUUAUGAGGUAGAAAAUACAUUCUGUUACUGGAACAAAAUUGCUUUCCAUUCCAUAUUAUUGCUUAUGUAACUCAAUAUGUAUUGAGUCAGUAUUAAGCAACAAUUGCCAAGUAAGGUGGAUAAAUUACUUGUUCUUACUUUUGCAAUGCAAAAUGUAAAGAAUGCAUGAUUUAUUCCACCACAAGAGCAAUAAAGCUAUAAAAAAGCUUGGCUUGUAACAGGGUUGCCAUUCACAGAGCAACCCCUUGGGGCCUCAGGUUACUCUGCUGCACUCUGCCUCUGUUUCUCCCCUACUUCAGGGCCCCUUGAGAAUUGCACAUAGGCUUCUUGGUUAACACCAUCCGUUCCUGGGGCUGGUUUAAUGACAGAAACAAUUUUUAAUGCUCAGGGUCCCAAAAGUCCAUCACCACACAGGAUUGGCUAACCCCAGAGUCACCAGCCCUUAAGGGGUGAGCUACCCUGUUACAGGACUACAUUGGAUGUGAUUUGUCCUUCCUCCCCCGGUGUGAUAUUAGCUUUUUUCAGUUUUACAAGGUUCCUUUCAGACAGUUUGAUUUUUUGUUCCGAGUUUGUGAAACACAGGAAAAAAACCAUAAAUACUCAACCUGUGUUUCAUAAGGGAAAAAAUGGGGAGAAAACUCUUGUACUUUUCUUUCUGUCUCUGAAGUGUUAGAGUCCAGUCCAGAAAACUUUAACUCACUGAAAUAGCCUUUACUAACCCAGUGAAGUCAAUUCAACUACACAGGUAAGUAAAGACUACUUGGGUAGAUGAAUAAGGAUUGGCAGGAUCAGGCCCUAAGUUUUUCUUAUUAAUUUAUACACAUUUCAAAGAGGAUCCCAUAACUUUUAUCCAGUCCUUGGGAUACAUGCAUUUAUUUACAGUAAUGCAUUUUUUCUUUGUCUAUAGUUACUGAGUAUUUGAAAAUCUAAUUUGAUAACUUUUUUUUUUUUUUAAAGGAUUUUGCUUGGGCCCAUGCCAACAGACUUUACAUCGGCUCCAAAUCCUCUUUUUUUACACAGUUCCAAAACACAUGUGGGGAAAAAGUGCACUCAUAUUGAUUGCCUCUGACAAAUAUUUCAACAUUCUUUUUGUUCUGUUCAUUCUUCAUGGAGUUAAAUAUACUGUUAAAGUAACUAAAUUAUAACUAUAUAGGUGUAUAUGUGUGGCUUUAAUUUGGAAUGAGCUAUAAAACAGGUUGUAGGGGCAAGGUUGCAGAAGAUUGGCGAGGAACUAAGUGGUGGACUGAGUAUGUGACUGGAUUUAAGCGGAAGAUGCAAGCAGUUUCAAUGAACUUUGUCUGACAGACGCUGCCAAAAGAUAUUGUAGCAUAGCUCAGCAUAUUUUUGCCUGUAAACAAGUCAGUUUAUGUAAUAAGCAUAAAUCAUACAUGUAAGAAUGUAACCGGCUGUUGAUCCCAUGUAACCCCGAGAUAAGCGCAGAGAAUAUAGUGCCACAGAGGACUCCCACCCGGUGGAGUCCUGCCUGGUCAGCUGUCCUGAAUGGCCGGAGUCCCCAGCAGCCCCUCCACGUGUCCUAGGGGCUUCCCACGCAGAUUGGAGCGGAAGUUCUUCCUUCCUUCAAUAAAGCAUAGUUUACUAUU